rnacentral:lncRNA from 1 species
AUGAGAUUCUCAGAUGUAUCAUGGAAUUUGUCAAGGAAGAAUUCUGUGCUUAAGGAUCUUCGUCUACAAGCCAUGCCUAAAAUAUUCACAGGAUUUUCUCUGAUCGUCCCACCAAGGUCUCCAAAAGGCAUUCUAAAAUUUAAAAUUCUGUUGCAUGUACAUUAUAAUAAAAUAAAGGUGAAGCAAUAA